GAGUUUGAUCAUGGCUCAGGAUGAACGCUAGCGGCAGGCCUAACACAUGCAAGUCGAGGGGUAACAGAGAGUGCUUGCACUUUGCUGACGACCGGCGCACGGGUGCGUAACGCGUAUAGAAUCUACCUUGUACUGAGGGAUAGCCCAGAGAAAUUUGGAUUAAUACCUCAUGGUAUGUAUAGAUGGCAUCAUCCAUACAUUAAAGGUUACGGUAUAAGAUGACUAUGCGUCCUAUUAGCUAGAUGGUGUGGUAACGGCACACCAUGGCAACGAUAGGUAGGGGCCCUGAGAGGGGGAUCCCCCACACUGGUACUGAGACACGGACCAGACUCCUACGGGAGGCAGCAGUGAGGAAUAUUGGACAAUGGGGGCAACCCUGAUCCAGCCAUGCCGCGUGCAGGAAGACUGCCCUAUGGGUUGUAAACUGCUUUUAUACAGGAAGAAACACUCCCUCGUGAGGGGGCUUGACGGUACUGUAAGAAUAAGGAUCGGCUAACUCCGUGCCAGCAGCCGCGGUAAUACGGAGGAUCCAAGCGUUAUCCGGAAUCAUUGGGUUUAAAGGGUCCGUAGGUGGAUAAUUAAGUCAGAGGUGAAAUCCUGCAGCUCAACUGUAGAAUUGCCUUUGAUACUGGUUAUCUUGAGUUAUUAUGAAGUAGUUAGAAUAUGUAGUGUAGCGGUGAAAUGCAUAGAUAUUACAUAGAAUACCAAUUGCGAAGGCAGAUUACUAAUAAUCAACUGACACUGAUGGACGAAAGCGUGGGGAGCGAACAGGAUUAGAUACCCUGGUAGUCCACGCCGUAAACGAUGGUCACUAGCUGUUCGGACUUUGGUCUGAGUGGCUAAGCGAAAGUGAUAAGUGACCCACCUGGGGAGUACGUUCGCAAGAAUGAAACUCAAAGGAAUUGACGGGGGG
rnacentral:rRNA from 1 species